GUUGAGAGUGUCCUUGUAUUGCUUCAUCUGACCUCCAUAGAUGGACAAUGCAGGCAUCCUUGAGCCCCUUGAACCUCCUCUUGUCACAUAACCUGGAAGAUUUGGUCAGCUUUUGUAUAAGCAGUGGAUGCUCUGCUUUGUAAAUUCCUUCUGGAAUAGGAUCAGCAUAAGGUGCUUUGUCACAUGAGAAGAACCUAACGCCAUUCAAACCUCUUUUCAGUUGGUUGUUUGACUAGAGAAGAAUUGACUUCAACCUGAGAUUCUUUUUUCUUCAGCAAUCUGAAGUGGAGUUUGCCUUUUCCAUCUUCACUCUAAAAGCUGGAAGCCAGAAUCACUGAAGCAACUCACUGCUUGAAGAAUCUCAAAAGGGACCGGCCAAGAUUGAAGCUCUCUCUCCUCUCACCAACUGCAUGACAGGCAGCGCCAUCAAUAAGGAGAAAGUUUAAUACCAAUGGGUUUUGAGACAAGGGUUACAUAAAUAACCUUUCUUUUUUA